AGCGAACGCUGGCGGCAGGCCUAACACAUGCAAGUCGAACGAACUCUUCGGAGUUAGUGGCGGACGGGUGAGUAACACGUGGGAACGUGCCUUUAGGUUCGGAAUAACUCAGGGAAACUUGUGCUAAUACCGAAUGUGCCCUUCGGGGGAAAGAUUUAUCGCCUUUAGAGCGGCCCGCGUCUGAUUAGCUAGUUGGUGAGGUAAAGGCUCACCAAGGCGACGAUCAGUAGCUGGUCUGAGAGGAUGAUCAGCCACAUUGGGACUGAGACACGGCCCAAACUCCUACGGGAGGCAGCAGUGGGGAAUCUUGCGCAAUGGGCGAGAGCCUGACGCAGCCAUGCCGCGUGAAUGAUGAAGGUCUUAGGAUUGUAAAAUUCUUUCACCGGGGACGAUAAUGACGGUACCCGGAGAAGAAGCCCCGGCUAACUUCGUG
rnacentral:rRNA from 1 species